AUGGGGCGGUCGCCGUGCUGCGACGGGGAGGCCCGCGUGAAGAAGGGGCCGUGGACAACCGAGGAAGACAAGCUGCUGGUCAACUACAUCCAGGAGAAAGGCCACGGCAGCUGGCGCCGCCUGCCCAAGCUCGCCGGCCUCAACCGCUGCGGCAAGAGCUGCCGCCUCCGCUGGACCAACUACCUCCGCCCGGACAUCAAGCGGGGACGCUUCACCGACGACGAGGAGAAGCUCAUCAUCCACCUCCACUCCCUCCUCGGCAACAAGUAA
rnacentral:rRNA from 1 species